UACGAAGGGGGCUAGCGUUGCUCGGAAUUACUGGGCGUAAAGGGCGCGUAGGCGGACAGUUUAGUCAGAGGUGAAAGCCCAGGGCUCAACCUUGGAACUGCCUUUGAUACUGGCUGUCUUGAGUAUGGGAGAGGUGUGUGGAACUCCGAGUGUAGAGGUGAAAUUCGUAGAUAUUCGGAAGAACACCAGUGGCGAAGGCGACACACUGGCCCAUUACUGACGCUGAGGCGCGAAAGCGUGGGGAGCAAACAGG
rnacentral:rRNA from 1 species